rnacentral:rRNA from 1 species
UACGGAGGAUGCAAGCGUUAUCCGGAAUUAUUGGGCGUAAAGCGUCCGCAGGUGGUUGGACAAGUCUGCUGUCAAAGCGUGGAGCUUAACUCCAUACGGGCGGUGGAAACUGUUUGACUAGGGUAUGGUAGGGGUCACGGGAAUUCCCAGUGUAGCGGUGAAAUGCGUAGAUAUUGGGAAGAACACCAGCGGCGAAAGCGCGUGACUGGGCCAUUACCGACACUCAUGGACGAAAGCUAGGGGAGCGAAA